CCUUCUCCAGGGGAUUAUCCCAACCCAGGGAUCGAACCCGGGUCUUCUGCAUGGCAGACAGACGCUUUACCAUCUGAGCCACUAGGGAAGCCCAACCUCACUUUAUUUCUCUGUACACGAUUAUCCACAUUAAAUGGAAAUUAUAAAAUACAUAUACACAUACACACCACCAGGAAUAAAACAAACCACUGUGAAGAGUAAUAAAUAGAACCCAAGCCAGAAACGACCCAGGUACUCUCAGACAGGAGCUUUAAAAUAUCCUCGAGUUACAUGCUAGAGUACUGUGGGAAAGAUAUGUAACACACAGGAACAGAUGGAAGUUUCAGGAAGGAGAGGGAAACUAUGGAAAAAUGUAACUGAAAUGCUAGGAAUAACAAAACGUGACGUAGGAGACAAAGAGCUUCUCUGACAGCUUAUCAGACGACGGGACACGGCCGAGGACACGGCCGAGGAAGACUUUCACGUGAAGACAGGUUACUAGAGAUCAUUCGAAUGAAACACAAAAGGAAAAGGAAGAGUGGGGAGAGACGAGCAGAGCAUCCAGGAGCUGUGGGAUCAUCACAUGUGUCUGCUGCCCCGAGAGGAGAAGAGAGAGAAGCUGGGAGAGAAAAGACAUCUGGAGAGAAAAUGCUUCAGAAGUUUUCAGAAUUACUGACGCGCAGCAAAGAAUCUCAGACCCAAGAGUCUCAGAGAGCCCCAAGCAGCAUGAAUACAAACACACACUUAGACACAUCAUAGUCAAACUGUUGUAAAUCAAGGACAAAAGCCUUGAAGGCAAAGCAACCAGAGAAAGAGAAACUUUAAAUUCAGAAGAAUAAAGAUAAGCGAUAUAAGCAUUCUCAGAAGAUAAUAUGCAAAUUAGAAGACACUGGAAAGACAAGAUACUUUUUUGGAACCAACAAAAAAUUGGCAGGAUGCAUCGCCAGCACACCUGUGAGACAAGAAACGUGGGAGCGAUUCUUCAAGCAAGGAGACAUACAGACCCAUGCAGCGGAAUGAAGAGCUGCGUAAACCGUCACACUGAGGUGGAUAGAAUGCCUUUAAAAGACAACUGACUGCCUAGGCUAAAAUAUUAAUGAGGUUUUGUGGGAUUUAUAGCAUAGAGGUAAAACUCGCGGCCAUGAUAGCAACAAGGACAGGGGAGGAGACAGAAGUCCCUCCAGGCCAGAACACUGGAGGGGUGGCCUUUCCCUUCUCCAGGGGAUCUUCCCAACCCAGGGAUCGAACCCAGGCCUCCUGCCUUGCAGGCGGAUUCUCUACCAGCUGAGCCACAAGGGAAGCCCAAAGUGUUUGUACUAGAUAUGAGUUGGUGUAAUAUGAUUUAGAUAAAGGCUGUGAAAAGCUAUAUUGUAAAACCUAGGGCAGCCGCUAAGAAAUAAGGGAAAAAAAGACAUAAUUAACCAGCUGAUAGUGGGAAUGAAAUGGAAUCAUCAAUCCAAAAAAAAAAAAAGAAAAAAGAAAAGAAAAAAAGAACAUAGGAGACAAUACAAAGCAAUUAGCAAGAUGAUUCCAGUCACAUCAAUGAUUAUAUUAAAUGUAAAUAAAAGAACAUAGGAGACGAUACAAAGCAAUUAGCAAGAUGAUUCCAGUCACAUCAAUGAUUAUAUUAAAUGUAAAU